rnacentral:rRNA from 1 species
GACGAACGCUGGCGGCGUGCCUAACACAUGCAAGUCGAGCGGGGUCCAUCCAGUGGCAACACUGGGGAAGACCUAGCGGCGAACGGGUGAGUAACACGUGAGGAACUUGCCCCGGAGUACGGGAUAACUCGAGGAAACUCGAGCUAAUACCGUAUGCCCUCUUCUGGUCGCAUGGCCGGAUGAGGAAAGAUUCAUCGCUCCGGGAGAGCCUCGCGGCCUAUCAGCUAGUUGGUGGGGUAACGGCCCGACCAAGGCAUCGACGGGUAGCUGGUCUGAGAGGACGAUCAGCCACACUGGGACUGAGACACGGCCCAGACUCCUACGGGAGGCAGCAGUGGGGAAUCUUGCGCCAAUGGGCGAAAGCCUGACGCAGCAACGCCGCGUGCGGGAUGAAGGCC